GUGGGUACAGCUCAGUGGUAGAGGGCAUGCUUAGCAAGCAGUAAGUCCUGGGUUCAAUCCCCAGUACCUUCA
rnacentral:tRNA from 1 species